GGGCUUGCGUCCGAUUAGCUCGUUGGUGGGGUAACGGCCUACCAAGGCUGAGAUCGGUAGCUGGUCUGAGAGGAUGAUCAGCCACACUGGGACUGAGACACGGCCCAGACUCCUACGGGAGGCAGCAGCAGGGAAUAUUGCGCAAUGGGCGAAAGCCUGACGCAGCAACGCCGCGUGGGGGAAGAAGGCCUUCGGGUUGUAAACCCCUUUUCUCGGGGAAGUGACGGUACCCGAGGAAUAAGCCUCGGCUAACUACGUGCCAGCAGCCGCGGUAAGACGUAGGAGGCGAGCGUUAUCCGGAUUUACUGGGCGUAAAGGGCGUGUAGGCGGCUCUUUAAGUCUGUGGUGAAAUCUCCCGGCUCAACCGGGAGGGUGUCAUAGAAACUGGGGAGCUUGAGGGCAGCAGAGGGAGGUGGAAUUCCCGGUGUAGUGGUGAUAUGCGUAGAU
rnacentral:rRNA from 1 species